GUGAUAUACUUUUCCUCAAAUCCCAUUCUCUCUCUCUAUCUCUCUCUCGCUCCUCAUUAUUUUCUCUCGCCUAAAUUACUUUGUUUGAAAGCUUCUCCAUCACAUAUCUUCACCUCCACCAGCAAAUACUAAUCCUAAACAUGAACGCAUCUUCAUAUUCCAUUUUCCUUCUCUCUCUACGCUCUAAGCUCCACCAUCACGAUCUCUCUCUCUCUUGCGAUCUCAGCCAAGAAGUCUCUGCCGGCUCCGUUUCCCGCCGAGUCCAGGCUCUUGCCAAUAGAGAACAAGCCAACAAAAAAUUGGACUUCUUUGUUCCGUAUACUAUUCUACCACUUGAUCAUGGAGGUAUUCAGCAAGCAAUAAUGCAAUUAAAUGAGAUAAAGGCUGCAAUUGCAGUUGUUCGCAAUGUCUGUGGUUUACCUUCAACCCCAGACUUUCAGAGGCAUGGAGAAUUCAUUGUCUUGUUUGAUUUUCUUCAGAAUGAUUUGGUUUCCAGGAAGGCAAUGUUUCCAACCAGAGGAGCAUCUAAUUCUUCUCCUUGCCAAUAUUCACAUUCGGAAAGCUAAUAAGCAGUCUGUGUUGAAGUUAGAAGAUGUUGUUGUGGAUGAGUUAAUGAGGAAGUUCUUCAAAAAUUAUACAAAUUGGUGCAAAUUCUUGCCAAGAAAAAGCAACAUUCGGGAACUUAUGGAAAUUUAGUGUAUCAUUAUUAGUGAUAGCCAGCUCAGGAACACUUGGAAAUUUAUGGAGUUUAUGGUUGCCAUAGUAAGGAAAGUUAUGAAGCUCAUAGUCACCACAAUAAGAUGUUAAAGAAGCUAAGCAAACAAUUACGUGGCGAGGAUUGGAAUUGAAACAACUUAAACACAUUAUGUUGGGCAAUAGGGUCUAUAUUUGGGUUUGAUUAUGACUGUGUUGAUUCUUUAUUGCUUCUCCAUAGUUAUCUUUAGUUGAUAUUUAUGAAAUGGAUUAUCUUUAUUGAUUAUAAUUGCUUGGGUUAUAUGUCAACCUUUAGAAGACCUUGAUUGGAUAUGGAUACAGAUUGUUCAAUGAUUGCUUAUAUUGAAUCUUUUUUCUUUGUAUAUUUUACUAUAAUAGCUCUGCAACAUCACCAUAAUCUAGCUCAUCCUAUUGUAAAUUAUGAAAAUUUGGUUACAUUGGAGCCCUAGAAGCUCUCAAGAUAUUUAUUAUAUUCUUAGUUUUGUAAAUUGUUACAAGCUCCAAUGAUAAGAUCUAGAUAAUAUAUUGUGUGCUGGUGCUUGAUUAUUUGUAUUUCUGAACAUUGCCGACCUAGUGUUUUUCCUAGAGAAUCAGCUUAUACAUGCAUGCAUUUGCAUAUCCUCAGGUACCGUGAUUAGAAAGAAAAAAAAAAUGUACUGCUGGAUGUAUUCAAAUUACAUAUCUUGAAUAUUUAAUGUUGAUUUUGUGUUGUCACUUAAUGUUUUCGUAAUCUUUAUGCUUUCUCCAUCCAUAUUUUAGUUAGAGGGCUUGCUUGGUGGAUGUACAAUUUGAGUGUAAACAUGUCGAUCUGUGUUUUCCUUUCCUUUUAACUUCUGUAAAGAGAUUAUGGACUUCUGUUUUCUGGUUAAUGAAUUGUUUAAAAAUAAUGAAUUUUCUUCUUCUUCUUCUGUACAGUUUCUGAAUCACCUUGCUCUUGAUGGUCUUUUAAGUGAUAAAAAUCAAAAGGUUGAUAUGACCAUGUUAGAAGACCAACUACCAACAAAAAGAUGACUUUCAUCGGCCCUUGUCAAGGUAAAGGCAAAAGAAAGCUGGACCUUCCUUGAGUUUGAGAGCUUAGGUGAUGAUGUGUACAUAUGCAGCUGCUCGUUCACCACGGUCGAGGUUUGAAGAGGACUGGGGUUAAUCCCUGUUUUGCUGCUUAGAUCGGCCUGCUGUAAAUAUUUUCUUGUAGUAGACUCUGAAAUUAUAAUUUUGGGACCCCAAUAUAUAUAUAUUAAACGUUCUAAUGAAACGUUAUAUCUUAUCCAAGAUUUUUAAUCCCUAAACCGCUAAUCAUACUUAGUUACACGAUUUUGGCCAAAUGACUCGAUUAGCGAGUUUAGCACUAUUUAGAAGGCACACCGUAACGGUCCCUGGAGUUUAGGGCGUUACAGAGAUAGAACUUGAACAACCUCUUAGAAAAUCUGUUAGAUUACAAAAAACAACUGAUGAGGCAAAUCAAACUGAGAUUGAAGAAAUACCUCAAGAUGUAGAUGAGAAUGUAAUGAACUUAGCCAAGAAGACAAGGGGAAAACUCUAUUGGCAAAUCUUACCAAGAGGAACAAUGACUUAAGGAUAAUAAAUUGGAAUGAGAAAGGGCAACCAGUUGGUACUAACUUAGUGCAAUUUUCUUUUUUUGUGGGCGCUCUUGUGCGAGAGGUUGUUCCUUACACUAUUUCAGAUUAGAGGAAAGUUUCACCAAUUAUGAGAGAUGUUCUUUGGGCAUCUAUUCAGGCACAACAUGACUUACAUGAUGAUUGGCAAAAAAAGAUGUGCUUUGAAAUGAUGGCAGAACUAUGGAGAGCUAGGAAAUCUAGACUUGUAAAGGAUAUUAUCAAUGCAAAAAAUGAGAGUGAACAACUAGCCUUAAAGCUGGAUUGCAUAAAAAGUGAUGUAGAAUGAAGAGCAUUUGUUGCCAAAAAAAUUAGUAAAGAACAUUUGGAUAUAAGGGCCAAAUACCAAGAGAGAAGAAAGAAAGCUGUUCCACACACCUUAAGUCGAAGAGGAUAUGCUCGAACAAUCGAUGAUAUGAAGAAAGAAAAUGAGGAUGUUAAAAUUUCUAGAAUUGAUGCUUUUCGGAGAGCCCAUACCAAGAAGAAUGGUGAACCUGUAAACCCAACGACACCUGAUAUUUUUGGUUCAUUGAAUGAGAUUCUCCUUGAAGACCCAAAAUCUGGAACUACAGACAACGCUGAUGAGGAUGCCUUGACAAAAUUAUUUGGUAACCCAAAAUUUGGUCGUUUAAUCGGACACGGAAGAGGCGUAACAAGGUCAAAGCUAACUGUUGUUAAUAUGUGUAAUAGCAAGAUCUCCAAGUUAGAAGAAGAGCAACAUAAUAUGAAGCUCAAAAUGACUGAAAUGAUGAAUCUACUUAAAGAACACUUGGUUGGUGGUAAAGUGACACCAAGCGAAGGACAAUCUCGUAAUGUACCGUAGUCAAACAAUAUUCAGUCCCCUAAGAGUAUUGCACUAGAAAAAAGACAUAACUUUACAAAAGGGAAGAAUGCUUGCUACUUGCUUGACUGGGCAGAUGUAAUUGUUGCUGAAGGUUGUUGAGAUUCUAGUGAUCCAAAGAUAACUGUACAUGGAAAGUCUCUUGGACCAGACUUUAUGCAAGUGUGGGUUGAUGUUGAUAUUGUACCAGAAUCUUACUUAUUUCAUCCUAAUCAUGCGAUGCUUACAAUACAAGAAGCAGUUGGUUCCAUAGUUGCAUGGCCUUCUAAAAAAGUUAUUCCAAGAGAUGUGACAAGCGAAGUAGAAAAGGAUACUUAAGACUCCUUGAAAGUAGUAACUUUGUUUAUUUCUUUGUGUUGAAAGUAGUAACUUUUAACUAUGUUGAAUAUUUAAGACUCCUUGAAUACUUAAAGAACAUUUAGUUGUUGAUGACAGUGUUGAAUGUUUUAAAC